UUAGUUAUUACAUAUAGACAUUAAAAAUCGAAUAUUUAUGUUUAUAUUUUUAUCCCUGAUUCGAUAAUAAUAAUUCAUAAUGCCAAUAAUACCGCGAUAUCCUCAUUCCGUUACUCUCGACUGUAUUUCGUGUGCAACAACCACCAGAAAGUGUACAUAUACACUUGAACUAUUGCGAAGAUAGUUAUCACCGUUGAAGAUUUAUCGUCCUCUCCUACUAGUGCUUCAGAGCAAGUGUGUGUACCUAUUGGAGUGAGUGUUGUUUACAGCGGCAGCUUUUCACUCUGACGUCUCAGCUAUUAUGACGCCAUGUUGGUAAGAUUUCAUCAGAGGUAUAAUUUAGCGAGAGGAAGUGAUUGAUUUCUUUCGCACGUGCUAUUCCAUCGUAUUAUCGACUGGCACCAGAUUAUUCACCGAUUGGUCGAUUGGUUCACUCGAUUCACUCAUAACCGAUGCGAUAAUAAAAUUCACAACCUAAAAAUUGUCCAGUUGACGUGUCAGUACUCCGACGUCAUCAGCAUUACGUUAAUUACUUGAUUAUCCAGGUGUACAUCACUGUUUUUUUCUGUACGUGUACUGAUGAUUUUCGAUGAGAAUACGUGUCAAGGAGUUUGAUAAUGUCGAUGUGUCAUCAUGAGGGACUGAUGAAUCAAUCAAUUGAUCAGGGACGUGGUGGUGUUGAAGGGAGGCAUCAUCGAAACAGCGAAUGGAACAACUUGGCGAUUACGUGUGUAUUGUGUUAAUCCGAGAAUAAUAAAAGUUGGUGAAGCAACAGCCGUUACUUCUUGGUGAAGAAAGAACUCGACGAAAAAUGAUUUUUUUAUUACUGGACUAGUUUGUCAAUUUUUAGACUUCUUCAAGCAAUCAACACUUGGAAAGUUUUUCGAGACAGUUUCUAUGCCCAGGUUGUUAUUCAUUUAGGAGAGACUCCCCCAAGAAGCGACUGGAUAAAGAUUAAUGGGGAGAGAGAAGUAGUGGAUAUAUACCGAGGCGGACACCAGUGAGGAUGAAAGGAAACGCCAAGCGGGAAAUUGUCCCCUUGGAAUUGUUGGCCAUCCAGGGAGCAAUCAACGUCGUGGCAGAACCGCUCACCAAGAUAGUCACUCUUUCAGCAAAACUAUAGCCAUAGUCCUCUCGACGCAGCCAUUUCCGUCCUGAGGUUUGUGUUGAAAGCAAAAUGUUGGAAAAAUAUCGUGAAAGAUUCUCACGCGUCUGAAAGGUAAAUUCCAGUUGGUUGAAUUGUAUACGCGUUACACUGGUGCUGUGUGUCUCACUUUGGUGAAGUAGCAGGUUUGAUUGUCCCAUGUUAUCUGCCCCCUUGGACACGCUCUCUCCUGUACCCAGGCUAAAUGCCCGACAUACCGGGCUCUCGCAUCGUGUGAUCGUUUAAGACUAUUGACUUUCCAACAUACGUGUCGACAAUCUUGUUAUCCUUUGUUUUCAGCAUCAUCUUUCCUCGAAUUAAUAGUCAUUCCUAUUUUGUCGAGCUACACAAUUUCACUGCGAUUAUUAUGCGCUUCCAACUCGAGCUCUCAUUAAUAGAGAGAGAACGUUUAUUUUUUCAUUAUUAAUAUUCUAGUAAUUGUUGCAAAAACAUCAAUUUUUGUACCAAUUUUUUCUCACAAGUUCUUCAGAAUACUCAGAAACUUGUGGGGAAAUACAUUCUUUGAAUUUACGAACUAAAUUAAAAUGUUAUGCAAUUAUUUAAAAAUCAUUUUCAAUUUUGAUUCUAAUGUUUGUUAUGAGAAUAAUCGACAGUGUCAAAUUUUUAUGAUCAAUAAUUUAUGACUCCGGUUAUUCUAAAUGUGCAAGACUGUGGGGAAAUUACUCUCGAAGUGUCACGUAAAAAGAACAUUAAAUUUUUAACAACCCUCAAUUUAUAUAAAAUUUAUCCUCUUAUUUUCCCAGAAAAUGGUGCAUGUCCGAGUAUUCAAUGAAACUCUAAUUCUCCGGUUCACACGACCCCGAAAAUGGAGAAAAAUACAAAAAUUCUAGGUCAUUAUUUCCCUGGAUUCCCACCUCAUAGAAAAAAAAACGAGAAUUUAAUCACGCGUCUGAUUAAAUCAUAUCCAAAACAUACUAAAUUCAAUUGAUAAAUCUCUUACUCUUCUGGAAGU